AGUUUGAUCCUGGCUCAGGACGAACGCUGGCGGCGCGCUUAAUACAUGCAAGUCGAGCGAGAACCGGUCCUUCGGGACCGGGGAAAGCGGCGAACGGGUGAGUAACACGUGGGUAAUCUGCCCUCGGUACUGGGAUAGCCCGGGGAAACCCGGAUUAAUACCGGAUAGCCUUUCGAGCUCUUGGGCUCGUUAGAAAAGGUGGCUUCGGCUUCCGACUGAGGAUGAGCCCGCGGCGGAUUAGCUUGUUGGUGAGGUAAUGGCUCACCAAGGCUUCGAUCCGUAGCUGGUCUGAGAGGACGAUCAGCCACACUGGGACUGAGACACGGCCCAGACUCCUACGGGAGGCAGCAGUGGGGAAUUGUUCGCAAUGGGCGCAAGCCUGACGACGCAACGCCGCGUGGAGGACGAAGAUUUUCGGAUCGUAAACUCCUUUCGAUCGGGAAGAAUGGCUGCCGGGUGAAUAGUCCGGCAGAGUGACGGUACCGAGAGAAGAAGCCCCGGCUAACUCCGUGCCAGCAGCCGCGGUAAUACGGGGGGUGCGAGCGUUGUCCGGAAUCACUGGGCGUAAAGGGCGCGUAGGUGGUUUGAUAAGGGUGUGGUGAAAGUCCGGGGCUCAACCCCGGAUCUGCCGUGCCGACUGUCAAACUCGAGGACUGUAGAGGCAGACGGAAUUCCGG
rnacentral:rRNA from 1 species